GCGCGGACUCGCCCUCGGCUGAUCCGUCGGCGUCGACGUCGCCGGCGUCGGCUGUCUCCGCCGGCUCCGCGGGUUCGUCGCCCGCUUCGCGCGC
rnacentral:tRNA from 1 species